UAAUGCAGUGAUCUUGCUAGAAACUAUGUUCAUGGAACGAUCCCUAAAACUCUAUCGAAGAUUCCACUUGUUACUUUAUCACUUGUGGUGAACCGGAUGACUGGUCCCAUUCCGAAAGAAAUUGGUCAAAUUUCAACCCUGGAGGAGUUAAUGUUGGAAGAUAACCGACUAGGAGGUCCAUUGCCUAAGAGCCUUGGAAAUUUGAAAAGCUUGAGAAGAAUGUGAGUUCAUUUUCUUCAAAGCAU